rnacentral:rRNA from 1 species
AGCGAACGCUGGCGGCAGGCCUAACACAUGCAAGUCGAACGAACCUUUCGGGGUUAGUGGCGGACGGGUGAGUAACACGUGGGAACGUGCCUUUAGGUUCGGAAUAACUCAGGGAAACUUGUGCUAAUACCGAAUGUGCCCUUGCGGGGAAAGAUUCAUCGCCUUUAGAGCGGCCCGCGUCUGAUUAGCUAGUUGGUUGAGGUAAUGGCUCACCAAGGCGACGAUCAGUAGCUGGUCUGAGAGGAUGAUCAGCCACAUUGGGACUGAGACACGGCCCAAACUCCUACGGGAGGCAGCAGUGGGGAAUCUUGCGCAAUGGGCGAAAGCAUGACGCAGCCAUGCCGCGUGAAUGAUGAAGGUCUUAGGAUUGUAAAAUUCUUUCACCGGGGACGAUAAUGACGGUACCCGGAGAAGAAGCCCCGGCUAACUUCGUG